ACGAGCAGAUGCACUGCCGUCGGCUUGUAUUUCCGCGACCGCCUGCGACAAGUUCUUUGGAGCUUCUGUAUUUACAAUUUCAGUUACUGCUGCGUACUAUAAAUAAACGCGGUCGUCUUUUGCAUUAAAAGAUAGUGAGAUUGUUAUCUGAGUUCCAGUGAAGCUCAACUAAAGAUGAGAAGCCUUAGAAAACAGUGGAUUUAAAAAAAUAUCUGGAGCUUCCUAGCGGGUUAAAGAUCCAGCGUAGUCACUGCUGUGGCCCGGGUUCGACCCCUGGCCCGGGAACUUCCACCUGCCCCGGGUCCAGCCACUUGGGAGAUGCCAGAAAAGUCAUCAGAGAAAGCGAAGGGCCCUGUGUCACCUGGGAGCAGAUGAAAGGAGAACAUCAGCUGGUCUCAGGACUUACUGAAGUUCAAGUUCUUUGUGUCUCAGUGCAGAAGGAAUUCAGCAAGAUGCAAAGUGAUGGGUAAAAAUAGAUUUAUUGAGAGAGGUAGACAGAAUGUGGCGAAAAGCUAUUUAUUUUCUAUACAAAUACAAUUAAUACAUAUAGCAUAGUACUCUCAUCACAAUAAUCAGAUCAGCAAGAAUCAUGUGUACUCUGACAAAAGUUUUUUUUUUUUUUUUUUUUUUCCUUUAGGGCUGUACCUGUGGAAGUUCCCAGGCUAGGGGUUGAAUCAGAGCUGCAGCUGCCAGCUACAGCCACAGCUACAGCCACAGCAAUAGCAGAUCCAAGCCUAGUCUGUGACCUAAACUGCAGCUCAUGGCAAUGCUGGAUCCUUAACCCAUUGAUCGAGGCCAGGAUCGAACUUGCAUCCUCAUGGAUACUAGUCAGGUUCUUAACUUGCUGAGCCACAGUGGGAAAUCCUGACAAAAGUUUUUGAGGCAGAUAUUUACAUAAAGUAUCCUUCUAUAUUUAAAAUUCACCUUGAGUUAAUUUUGAUAUCUGGAAUGAGGUGAGAAUCUAAACUGCUUUUUUUGGAAUUGCUGUCUUGGCUCAGCUGUUAGUGAACCCGACUAGCAUCCG
rnacentral:lncRNA from 1 species